AGCCUUGAGGUGUUUGCGCGUCAGAUUGCAAAUCUGAAGGAGCAGGCUAGUCGCCUGCCGGGGCUUACCCCC
rnacentral:tRNA from 1 species